rnacentral:rRNA from 1 species
UACGUAGGGUGCGAGCGUUGUCCGGAAUUAUUGGGCGUAAAGAGCUCGUAGGCGGUGUGUCGCGUCGGCCGUGAAAACCUGCAGCUUAACUGUGGGCUUGCGGUCGAUACGGGCAUCACUGGAGUUCGGCAGGGGAGACUGGAAUUCCUGGUGUAGCGGUGAAAUGCGCAGAUAUCAGGAGGAACACCGGUGGCGAAGGCGGGUCUCUGGGCCGAUACUGACGCUGCGGAGCGAAAGCGUGGGGAGCGAACAGG